rnacentral:rRNA from 1 species
UACGUAGGUGGCAAGCGUUGUCCGGAUUUACUGGGCGUAAAGAGCGCGCAGGCGGUCGUUCAAGUCGCGUGUGAAAGCCCCCCGGCUCAACUGGGGAGGGUCACGCGAUACUGAUCGACUCGAAGGCAGGAGAGGGAAGUGGAAUUCCCGGUGUAGUGGUGAAAUGCGUAGAUAUCGGGAGGAACACCAGUGGCGAAGGCGGACUUCCUGGCCCUGUUCUUGACGCUGAGGCGCGAAAGCUAGGGGAGCAAACGGG